rnacentral:rRNA from 1 species
AUUGAACGCUGGCGGCAUGCCUUACACAUGCAAGUCGAACGGCAGCACGGGAGCAAUCCUGGUGGCGAGUGGCGAACGGGUGAGUAAUAUAUCGGAACGUGCCCAGUCGUGGGGGAUAACGUAGCGAAAGUUACGCUAAUACCGCAUACGAUCUAAGGAUGAAAGCGGGGGAUCGCAAGACCUCGCGCGAUUGGAGCGGCCGAUAUCAGAUUAGGUAGUUGGUGAGGUAAAGGCUCACCAAGCCAACGAUCUGUAGCUGGUCUGAGAGGACGACCAGCCACACUGGAACUGAGACACGGUCCAGACUCCUACGGGAGGCAGCAGUGGGGAAUUUUGGACAAUGGACGCAAGUCUGAUCCAGCCAUUCCGCGUGCAGGAUGAAGGCCCUCGGGUUGUAAACUGCUUUGUUACGGAACGAAAGGUUUCUAUUAAUACUAGGAGCUCAUGACGGUACCGUAAGAAUAAGCACGCUAACUACGUGCCAG